AAAACUUCUCAACCACAUUUCUUUUUAUUGGGGGUGUGGCUUGGAAAUGGAGGAGUGCAGGCUUCUUUUGAAGUCUGCUCCUCUGAAAUGUAUUAGCGGUGUCUGAACAGACUACCACAGGUGUGAUAACUAUCAAUGCCUUGGUAUAUAUGGCUGGCUGCUUCCAAUCUCUAAUGACCA
rnacentral:misc_RNA from 1 species